rnacentral:rRNA from 1 species
UACAGAGGUCCCAAGCGUUGUUCGGAUUCAUUGGGCGUAAAGGGUGCGUAGGCGGCGCGGUAAGUCGGGUGUGAAAUCUCGGAGCUUAACUCCGAAACUGCAUUCGAUACUGCCGUGCUUGAGGACUGGAGAGGAGACUGGAAUUUACGGUGUAGCGGUGAAAUGCGUAGAUAUCUGGAGGAACACCGGUGGCGAAGGCGGCCUGCUGGGCAGUUGCUGACACUGAGGCGCGACAGCGUGGGGAGCAAACAGG